rnacentral:rRNA from 1 species
GAUGAACGCUGGCGGCGUGCCUAAUACAUGCAAGUCGUACGAACAGCGGAAAGUGCUUGCACUUUCCAAGUAAGUGGCGAACGGGUGAGUAACACGUGAAUAACCUACCUCAAAGACUGGGAUAACCAUUGGAAACAGAGACUAAUACCGAAUAAAACUUAGUGUCGCAUGACACAAAGUUAAAAGGCGCUUCGGCGUCACCUAGAGAUGGAUCCGCGGUGCAUUAGUUAGUUGGUGGGGUAAAAGCCUACCAAGACAAUGAUGCAUAGCCGUGUUGAGAGACUGAUCGGCCACAUUGGGACUGAGACACGGCCCAAACUCCUACGGGAGGCUGCAGUAGGGAAUCUUCCACAAUGGGCGCAAGCCUGAUGGAGCAACGCCGCGUGUGUGAUGAAGGCUUUCGGGUCGUAAAGCACUGUUGUAUGGGAAGAACGGGUUUAAGAGGAAAUGCUUAAGCAGUGACGGUACCAUACCAGAAAGGGACGGCUAAAUACGUGCCAGCAGCCGCAGUAAAAC